UGAGAACUGGCUGGAUAAUGCCUUUUGUUCUCUACGACAAAUAUUGGCCAAACUAGCUCUUCUGUUAUACCAGAUCUCUUACUGUAGAGAUUCUGAUGUGCAGUCUUUUGACACGCAUCAUUUUUUUAAAUUCCCAAAUACGCCUGUUUAUGAUUACGUGUCUUACAAAAUCUCAACCUUCUUUAUUAUUGAAAACCUAUUCCCCUGACAAACCUAAACUUUGUGUCACUAACACUACAUUUUGUGACAGCACUUUUACAUGUGCUUGCUUCGGGUCUUCUUUUUGUCUCUUAUGUACGUCCCCACAGACUAAUUUCUUCUCCUACUAUUGCUUGGUGGAUCCGCUGGCUUCUCGCUCUUGCAGGUGCUCAUUCUGUUCAAGGUGCAGC